ensembl:snRNA U6 U6 spliceosomal RNA
GUGUUCGCUUUGGCAGCACAUAUAGUAAAAUUGGAACGAUACAGAGAAGAUUAGCAUGGCCCCUGCUCAAGGAUGACACGCAAAUUCGUGAAGCGUUUUUCGUAAUU